CACCGUAGAAAACACAUCAAUUUAAGACAUUCUGUAGGGCCGACUGAAAUCCUUGCCAUCAGCCCAUUAAGAGGGACUGAAGAGCAAGCUGGUGAAGAGUAAGAGCCACAUCUUUCUGAUGGAGACCUGCUGUCCAUAGAGCUAACUUUUUUUUUUUUCUUCCCAUUUAUACAACUUAUCAUAAAGCAUCUUUAGUGUAUUGUCUACUGCAGAAAGUGGUCAUAAAGUUUUCUUCACCAGGGUGUGAAAAUCAGUUUCAGACGGUGCACCCGUUAGACUGUAUCAAAUAGACAUAAUGGCAAUUAUUGCAGAAAGAAAUUGAAGUUCCAUUUAAAUGGCUAAUAAAAACUGUUUGUUUAUCUUGUCUGGAUUUGCAGUAGUGCUCUAUAAACCCUUGUAAACUUGGUCAUGCUAUACUUACGUGUUUCUAAUUUGAAUUUUCAUGAAGGCAGGCUUCUGCUAUUAAUUAAGAAACUCUGUUGCCUGUGAGAGGGUAGAUUCCUGCAAGAUUUUAGGAUGGUAGAAUUCAACUUGUUGUUAACCAAUUUACUGGAAGGUCAAAUAGCUCAGGAAUUGCAUUUUUCAGGGAACAUCAGUUUGAUACCGUUUGCGGUGUUGACCUUUAUUUUCAGUAACUCUUGUUGUAUGUUUGUUCUUGGUUUUCAAAGGAGCAAGUAGUUGUUAAUCUCCAGAACCAACUUCUGCAGUGUGAAUGGCUUUCCUGUAAACUGUUCUGGUGCAGUUAGAAGCUGAUGAUCUUGGAGUUAAUUGGCAAUUUCAGAGAAUUUGGAGAGGAGACCUUGGAAGCCUUUUAGAAGGUAUCGUUUGGACAGAAAAUAGUGCACCCAUGGAACAGCAAACUCCCAGCUCUUCCAAUCUUCUGGCGAAUGGAAAUGAAAAAAAAUUUGAAUGUGAUUACUGUACACUUGCAGUGUGAUUUUGUGAAUGUAAAACAAGGAUUGAGAAAAGGG